rnacentral:rRNA from 1 species
UACAGAGGUCUCAAGCGUUGUUCGGAUUCAUUGGGCGUAAAGGGUGCGUAGGCGGCGUGGUAAGUCGGGUGUGAAAUCUCGGAGCUUAACUCCGAAACUGCAUUCGAUACUGCCGUGCUUGAGGACUGGAGAGGAGACUGGAAUUUACGGUGUAGCGGUGAAAUGCGUAGAUAUCGUAAGGAAGACCAGUGGCGAAGGCGGGUCUCUGGACAGUGCCUGACGCUGAGGCACGAAGGUCAGGGGAGCAAACGGG